CUGGAAACCAGCAAUGACCAUCAGAGGGGACAGGGAAGGGGAGGACUGAUUGGUCAAGAUGAACAUAUAGAUAAUGAUAACAUUUGUAUAAUGCAUGGGAGGAAAUGGAUGAGGACACUUGAAGUCAGAGGUGACCAGUCUAUGAGCUCUGGCUGCCCCAGGGCCCACCUGGAAAAUGAAGAAGAUUGAAGUUAAUCCAUGGCUGUUGCCCAUUCUCUACACUUAAGUGUGCCAGGUGCCAGAGAUGGGGUCUCACUGUGUUGCCCAGGCUGGGAGGAUUACAAGCCUAAUUCUUCGUUAUGUUAAAUAAGGUCAGACCAGAUUUUCCAGGUGAUGAGCCUGUGAACUGGUUGUUGCUUUCAUGGUGCCCAUCUUACCCGUGAGAAGGUAGGUAUUGUGUCCCUGACUUGCAGGUAGAAUGUAAGUGGUAUGCUUUGGCCA
rnacentral:lncRNA from 1 species